rnacentral:rRNA from 1 species
CACGCCGUAAACGAUGAGUGCUAGGUGUUAGGGGGUUUCCGCCCCUUAGUGCUGAAGUUAACGCAUUAAGCACUCCGCCUGGGGAGUACGGCCGCAAGGCUGAAACUCAAAGGAAUUGACGGGGGCCCGCACAAGCGGUGGAGCAUGUGGUUUAAUUCGAAGCAACGCGAAGAACCUUACCAGGUCUUGACAUCCUUCGCUACCUCUAGAGAUAGAGGGUUCCCUUCGGGGACGAAGUGACAGGUGG